UACGUAGGGUGCAAGCGUUGUCCGGAAUUAUUGGGCGUAAAGAGCUCGUAGGCGGUUUGUCGCGUCUGCUGUGAAAACCCGAGGCUCAACCUCGGGCCUGCAGUGGGUACGGGCAGACUAGAGUGCGGUAGGGGGGAGUGGAAUUCCUGGUGUAGCGGUGGAAUGCGCAGAUAUCAGGAGGAACACCAAUGGCGAAGGCAGAUCUCUGGGCCGUAACUGACGCUGAGGAGCGAAAGCAUGGGGAGCGAACAGG
rnacentral:rRNA from 1 species